AUUGAACGCUGGCGGCAGGCCUAACACAUGCAAGUCGAGCGGAUGACGGGAGCUUGCUCCCUGAUUCAGCGGCGGACGGGUGAGUAAUGCCUAGGAAUCUGCCUAUUAGUGGGGGACAACGUUUCGAAAGGAACGCUAAUACCGCAUACGUCCUACGGGAGAAAGCAGGGGACCUUCGGGCCUUGCGCUAAUAGAUGAGCCUAGGUCGGAUUAGCUUGUUGGUGAGGUAAUGGCUCACCAAGGCGACGAUCCGUAACUGGUCUGAGAGGAUGAUCAGUCACACUGGAACUGAGACACGGUCCAGACUCCUACGGGAGGCAGCAGUGGGGAAUAUUGGACAAUGGGCGAAAGCCUGAUCCAGCCAUGCCGCGUGUGUGAAGAAAGUCUUCGGAUUGUAAAGCACUUUAAGUUGGGAGAAAGGGUUGUAGAUUAAUACUCUGCAAUUUUGACGUUACCGACAGAAUAAGCACCGGCUAACUCUGUGCCAGCCGCCGCAGUAA
rnacentral:rRNA from 1 species